rnacentral:rRNA from 1 species
AUGAGCCUAUCGGGGCCGUCCUACUGGAGCCUCUGCUACACCCGAAACGAGAAACAAAUUAUUCUCGAUCGUUUGGCUGCUGGCCACAGAGCACUUCGCCCCACAGCGCAUACCCUUCCUCCAUCUCUCACCACUCUCUCUCUCUCUCUCUCUCUGUCAAGUGUGCACGGAGAUCAUGGACAAUCCUCCGGCCGCGGCGGCGGCCGCCGCCAACAACGUGGCCAAUCCUCCGGCAGUGGCAGCGGCGGCCAACAACGUGGCCAAUCCUCCGGCGGCGGCACCUGCGGCUGCUCCAGCAGCGAAUGCCGCCGCCGCAGCGCGCGCCGCGCGGCACACCGCCUGGAAGAAGAAGGACAAGAAGGUUGCAAUCAUAUCUCUAGUCGUUCUGGCGAUCGUCCUGGUUCUGAUUGCGGUGCUGUGCCUCCAACCCUGGAAAAAGUAGAGAGCGUGGCGUGCUCUGAGUGCUUCUGUGGGAUCGAGGGACCUGAUCGUGUGCGUGGUUAA